GAAUAGUUAUGAUCUUGAUUAGUGAUCCAUGUGUAUGAAACUAAUGAUAUCAGUUGGUCUGAUAUC
rnacentral:sRNA from 1 species